UUGCACAGGUGCUGCAUGGCUGUCGUCAGCUCGUGUCGUGAGAUGUUCGGUUAAGUCCGCUAACGAGCGCAACCCUCGCUGUGUGUUAUAUGUGUCACACGGGACUGCCGGUCUUAAGCCGGAGGAAGGUGGGGAUGAUGUCAAGUCAGCAUGGCCUUUAUAUCCUGGGCUACACACACGCUACAAUGGCCAACACAAUAGGUUGCUAAGCCGCGAGGUGGCGCCAAUCCCAGAAAGCCGAUCGUAGUCCGGAUCGGAGUCUGCAACUCGACUCCGUGAAGUCGGAAUCGCUAGUAAUCGUGGAUCAGCAUGCCACGGUGAAUACGUUCCCGGGUCUU
rnacentral:rRNA from 1 species